rnacentral:rRNA from 1 species
CACGUAGGGAGCAAGCGUUGUCCGGAUUUAUUGGGCGUAAAGAGCUCGUAGGUGGUUCGGUAAGUCAGGUGUGAAACCUCCAGGCUCAACCUGGAGACGCCACUUGAUACUGCUGUGACUGGAGUCCGGUAGGGGAGCGUGGAAUUCCUGGUGUAGCGGUGAAAUGCGCAGAUAUCAGGAGGAACACCGAUUGCGAAGGCAGCUCGCUGGAACGUUACUGACGCUGAGACGCGAAAGCGUGGGGAGCAAACAGG